GCCCGCGUAGCUCAACGGGAGAGCGGCGUUCUUACACAUCGCAGGUCGGGGGCUCGACACCCUCCGCGGGCA
rnacentral:tRNA from 1 species